CUACUACACCUGUUGUAUUCAGCAUUUCACUGUAAGGUCUACUACACCUGUUGUAUUCAGCAUUUUACUGUAAGGUCUACUACACCUGUUGUAUUCAGCAUUUCACUGUAAGGUCUACUACACCUGUUGUAUUCAGCAUUUCACUGUAAGGUCUACUACACCUGUUGUAUUCAGCAUUUUACUGUAAGGUCUACUACACCUGUUGUAUUCAGCAUUUCACUGUAAGGUCUACUUUACUUGUUGUAUUCAGCAUUUCACUGUAAGGUCUACUACACCUGUUGUAUUCAGCAUUUCACUCACAGAUGAGGGAGAGCGGAUGGGUUCAUGUCUAAAUUGUGCAACCUUCUUUUCCUUAAUUUUGUCUUGUCUUGUCUUGUCCUGAAAGGUAUCCUCCCC
ensembl:lncRNA